rnacentral:lncRNA from 1 species
GGAAAUGGAAAGGAGAUUCCUGAGCCAAGACACAAAUGAUUGUAUCAAUGUGUUUACUUGCCUAUGCCUUUAAGGUAGGAAUAUCUACUGCAAGUUCUG